UACGGGGGGAGCAAGCGUUGUUCGGAUUUACUGGGCGUAAAGGGCGCGUAGGCGGUCAGCACAAGUCAGUUGUGAAAUCUCCGGGCUCAACUCGGAAAGGUCAACUGAUACUGUGCGACUAGAGUGCAGAAGGGGCAACUGGAAUUCUCGGUGUAGCGGUGAAAUGCGUAGAUAUCGAGAGGAACACCUGCGGCGAAGGCGGGUUGCUGGGCUGACACUGACGCUGAUGCGCGAAAGCCAGGGAGCGAAGCGGG
rnacentral:rRNA from 1 species